GCGGAGCGCGGCGCCGGCUGAGGAGCCAUGGCCCUUCUGGUGGGCCCUGGUGGUCCGACCGGCGCGGUUCGUUCCGCGGCUCCUUCC
rnacentral:tRNA from 1 species